GUAAGCAAAACGUGACAUAAUUGCAGUUAAAACUUGGGACAUAACAUGCAAUUCCACCUCCCCGCUGCUACUCCUACGACCACCGACACAAUGGAAAAGGGGAAAAUCCAAAGGUGAACCAAAAUCAAAGUCCCCAAAUUCACAAAAUAAACUCGAAGAUCCAACCAUGGAUGACUUGAGAUACAAGUCAUAUAACGAUUCCAGAGGACAAGUCGAAAGGUACAGCUAUUCUAGUGAUUUUUGUAACGGUUACAGCGAACCCAGUUCAAACCCCAACCCAAAUGGGUUUCGAUGUUAUAGUGCUUCCUAUGCAUCGAAUAACACUCAGAUGGAGUUGUCCAAGGAAGUGAAGUUUAAGAAAGGUAAGUCCAGUAAUGGGUCAGUUUCUAAGAGCUGGAGUUUCAAUGAUCCAGAGUUGCAGAGGAAGAAGAGAGUGGCUAGUUAUAAGGUUUACACUGUUGAAGGAAAGGUUAAGGGAUCCAUAAAGAAGAGUUUUCGUUGGAUUAAAGAAAGGUGUACCAAAGUUGUCUAUGGCUGGACCUGAUCUAGAAUUUUCAAGUAUGUUAUAUAUAGAUUUCUUUCAAAUAAUAUACUCUACUGUAUUAUAUUGCUUUGAAUGAGUAAAAUUAUGUCUCAUUCUUCUUGAUGCAUUUCCAUUUCUGGUUGCCCAGAUUAGGAUUAAGUAAUACUUAUGUUA
rnacentral:misc_RNA from 1 species